UGCGAACUCCUACGGGAGGCAGCAGUGAGGAAUAUUGGUCAAUGGACGUAAGUCUGAACCAGCCAAGUAGCGUGCAGGAUGACGGCCCUAUGGGUUGUAAACUGCUUUUGUUAGGGAGUAAAUGAAGGCACGUGUGCUUUUUUGCAUUUACCUUUCGAAUAAGGACCGGCUAAUUCCGUGCCAGCAGCCGCGGUAAUACGGAAGGUCCAGGCGUUAUCCGGAUUUAUUGGGUUUAAAGGGAGUGUAGGCGGUUUGUUAAGCGUGUUGUGAAAUUUAGGUGCUCAACAUUUAACUUGCAGCGCGAACUGGCGAACUUGAGUGCACACAACGUAUGCGGAAUUCAUGGUGUAGCGGUGAAAUGCUUAGAUAUCAUGAAGAACUCCGAUUGCGAAGGCAGCGUACGGGAGUGUAACUGACGCUUAAGCUCGAAGGUGCGGGUAUCGAACAGGAUUAGAUACCCUUGUAGUCCU
rnacentral:rRNA from 1 species